rnacentral:rRNA from 1 species
UACGAAGGGGGCUAGCGUUGCUCGGAAUCACUGGGCGUAAAGGGUGCGUAGGCGGGUCUUUAAGUCAGGGGUGAAAUCCUGGAGCUCAACUCCAGAACUGCCUUUGAUACUGAAGAUCUUGAGUUUGGGAGAGGUGAGUGGAACUGCGAGUGUAGAGGUGAAAUUCGUAGAUAUUCGCAAGAACACCAGUGGCGAAGGCGGCUCACUGGCCCGAUACUGACGCUAAGGCACGAAAGCGUGGGGAGCGAACAGG